CCCUUAGAUGUUCUGGGCCGCACGCGCGCUACACUGAUGCAUUCAACGAGUUUCUUCCUGGUCCGAGAGGAAUGGGUAACCUUUUGAAAGUGCAUCGUGAUAGGGAUAGACUAUUGCAAUUAUUGGUCUUCAACGAGGAAUUCCUAGUAGACGUAGUUCAUCAGACUGCAUCGAUUACGUCCCUGCCCUUUGUACACACCGCCCGUCGCCCCUACCGAUUGAAUGCUCAGGUGAGCCAUUCGGACUUUCAUCAUGCUGGUUUCCAGUUUUGAUGAAGGAAAGUCUUGCGAACCUUAUCAUUUAGAGGAAGGAGAAGUCGUAAC
rnacentral:rRNA from 1 species